rnacentral:rRNA from 1 species
UACAGAGGUCUCAAGCGUUGUUCGGAUUCAUUGGGCGUAAAGGGUGCGUAGGCGGCGGGGUAAGUCGGAUGUGAAAUCUCAGGGCUCAACCCUGAAACUGCAUUCGAUACUGCCUUGCUCGAGGACUGGAGAGGAGAUUGGAAUUCACGGUGUAGCAGUGAAAUGCGUAGAUAUCGUGAGGAAGACCAGUGGCGAAGGCGGAUCUCUGGACAGUUCCUGACACUGAGGCACGAAGGCCAGGGGAGCAAACGGG